GAAGGACUCCGCGGUCACGAUGCAGCCCGCUACGAGUCUGCCUGAAGGACCCCAUGUCGCUCAGUUUGCAAAGAGCUUUCCUUAGCGUUCAAGGAGCCUGGACAUUGAUGUCAACCACAGCGUUCAAACCCGGAGUGCUAGUGCAGACCUGUUAUCCCAGCACUGGGAAAGCGGAGGCAGGAGGAUCAGUGAUCCAAAUCCUCAGCUGUGUAGGCACUUGGAAGCCAACCUGAGCUCGAGUCCCUAUCCCCAAUACCCUCGAAGAUUGAUCAGUUAUAGAGUGUCUGUUACCCAGCUAAUCAAAAAGCGCCACAUAUAUUGCUAUGGAAAGAUCCUUGAAAGACACCAGCUGACAUGGCCGACACCACAAUCCUUCACUGAUACCAGAACCCAGUGUCUUCAAGCUUCUACCAGACUGAAGACUACCAGAUCUCCAGGAAUCAUGUAUGAAGGACUCCAGCACCAGGUGCAUCUUCUGAGGCAUUCGACUUGGUAGACUAAUCAGCCUCCCCGUAUGAAGAAGACAUUGUUGGAUGCCCCAGGCUGUAUCAGGUAAGCUAAUCUAUCUAAUAAAUCCUGUUAAUAUGUAUCAUUUCUAUUUGUUUAGCUCCUCUUAAGAACCCUGAUUAUUUCAAAAAUCUUUUUGUGUAUGUGUGUGUAUACAUGUGCACAUUGUAUGUGCCUGUGCAUACAUGUAUAUGCAUGUGUGAAGGUCAGGGAUCAAUGUUGUUGGAUGUCUUCUUCAGUCUCUCCACCUGAUUUUUUGUGACAGAGUCUCUCACUAAACCUAGACCUCGUAGAUUUGGCUAGACUAGAUGUGAUGUCAACAAGAACCAGGGAUAUAGCUUUCUCUGCCUCCCAAACUCUAGGAUUAUAGGCGCACACAGCUAAACCACACUUUCCUGUGGGAACUAAGUAUCCACCUAAGUCCUCAUGACUAUGCCACAAGUAUGAACUGAGCUGCCUCAUCAGACCAUUAAAUCUUUCUCUUUAACAUUUGUUUUGUGGUGCACAUGUGCACAUGACAGACCAUAGUGCACUUGUGGAAGUCAGAGGACAUCUUGAAUCUUGAAUGAGUUUCUUCUCACUGUCUACCACAUGGGAUCAACUAUUGAACUCAGGUUGCCUGGCACGGUGAUAAUUGUCCUACUCAUUGAUCCAUCUCACCAGCCCAUGAAUGAAGUCUUAUCUAGUGUAGGACUUCAUGCUUGGAUAACCAGUGCUGAAGAGAACACUCUAGGUAACAUACAGUUAUAAAA
ensembl:antisense Gm43400 predicted gene 43400